ensembl:lncRNA
AUGGCUAACGUGACAUGGUGUGAUGAAAGAAACAUACAGGAACUCAAAUCCUUCUGUUCACCUGAUUUAGAAUUCCUCACAAUCAAAUGUAGACCGCAUUAUCUACCAAGAGAAUUCUCUUCAAUUAUAAUCACAGCCGUAUAUAUCUCCCCCCAAACAGACACAUCGAUGGCUCUGAACAAACUUUAUUUAACUCUCUGCAAACUGGAAACCAUUUAUCCGGAGGUUGCAUUCAUUGUAGCUGGGGAUUUUAACAAGGCUAAUCUGAAAACAAGACUCCCUAAAUUUUAUCAGCAUAUCGAUUGCGCAACCAGGGGUGGAAAGACCUUGGAUCAUUGUUACUCUAACUUCCGCGACGCAUAUAAGGCCCUGCCCCGCCCCCCUUUCGGAAAAGCUGACCACGACUCAAUUUUGUUGAUCCCUGCCUACAGACAGAAACUAAAACAAGAGGCUCCCACGCUGAGGUCUGUCCAACGCUGGUCCGACCAAGCUGACUCCACACUCCAAGACUGCUUCCAUCACGAGGACUGGGAUAUGUUUCGUAUUGCGUCAGAUAACAAUAUUGACGAAUACGCUGAUUCGGUGUGCGAGUUCAUUAGAACGUGCGUUGAAGAUGUCGUUCCCAUAGCAACGAUUAAAACAUUCCCUAACCAGAAACCGUGGAUUGAUGGCAGCAUUCGCGUGAAACUGAAAGCGCGAACCACUGCUUUUAAUCAGGGCAAGGUGUCUGGUAACAUGACCGAAUACAAACAGUGCAUCUAUUCCCUCCGCAAGGCUAUCAAACAAGCUAAGCGUCAGUACAGAGACAAAGUAGAAUCUCAAUUCAACGGCUCAGACACAAGAGGCAUGUGGCAGGGUCUACAGUCAAUCACGGACUACAGGAAGAAAUCCAGCCCAGUCACGGACCAGGAUGUCUUGCUCCCAGGCAGACUAAAUAACUUUUUUGCCCGCUUUGAGGACAAUACAGUGCCACUGACACGGCCUGCAACGAAAACAUGCGGUCUCUCCUUCACUGCAGCCGAGGUGAGUAAGACAUUUAAACGUGUUAAGCCUCGCAAGGCUGCAGGCCCAGACGGCAUCCCCAGCCGCGCCCUCAGAGCAUGCAGACGAUGCAAUCUCAACCACACUGCACACUGCCCUAACCCAUCUGGACAAGAGGAAUACCUAUGUGAGAAUGCUGUUCAUCGACUACAGCUCGGCAUUCAACACCAUAGUACCCUCCAAGCUCGUCAUCAAGCUCGAGACCCUGGGUCUCGACCCCGCCCUGUGCAACUGGGUACUGGACUUCCUGACGGGCCGCCCCCAGGUGGUGAGGGUAGGCAACAACAUCUCCUCCCCGCUGAUCCUCAACACUGGGGCCCCACAAGGGUGCGUUCUGAGCCCUCUCCUGUACUCCCUGUUCACCCACGACUGCGUGGCCACGCACGCCUCCAACUCAAUCAUCAAGUUUGCGGACGACACAACAGUGGUAGGCUUGAUUACCAACAACGACGAGACGGCCUACAGGGAGGAGGUGAGGGCCCUCGGAGUGUGGUGUCAGGAAAACACUCAACGUCAACAAAACUAAGGAGAUGA